rnacentral:rRNA from 1 species
CAACCGCAAAAGAAGCAGAGGGGGCUUAGUGGUGGGGUGACUGCGUACCUUUUGUAUAAUGGGUCAGCGACUUAUAUUCUGUAGCAAGGUUAACCGAAUAGGGGAGCCGGAGGGAAACCGAGUCUUAAUUGGGCGUUAAGUUGCAGGGUAUAGACCCGAAACCCGGUGAUCUAGCCAUGGGCAGGUUGAAGGUUGGGUAACACUAACUGGAGGACCGAACCGACUAAUGUUGAAAAAUUAGCGGAUGACCUGUGGCUGGGGGUGAAAGGCCAAUCAAACCGGGAGAUAGCUGGUUCUCCCCGAAAGCUAUUUAGGUAGCGCCUCGUGAAUUCAUCUCCGGGGGUAGAGCACUGUUUCGGCUAGGGGGCCAUCCCGGCUUACCAACCCGAUGCAAACUGCGAAUACCGGAGAAUGUUAUCACGGGAGACACACGGCGGGUGCUAACGUCCGUCGUGAAGAGGGAAACAACCCAGACCGCCAGCUAAGGUCCCAAAGUCAUGGUUAAGUGGGAAACGAUGUGGGAAGGCCCAGACAGCCAGGAUGUUGGCUUAGAAGCAGCCAUCAUUUAAAGAAAGCGUAAUAGCUCACUGGUCGAGUCGGCCUGCGCGGAAGAUGUAACGGGGCUAAACCAUGCACCGAAGCUGCGGCAGCGACGCUUAUGCGUUGUUGGGUAGGGGAGCGUUCUGUAAGCCUGUGAAGGUGUGUCGUGAGGCAUGCUGGAGGUAUCAGAAGUGCGAAUGCUGACAUAAGUAACGAUAAAGCGGGUGAAAAGCCCGCUCGCCGGAAGACCAAGGGUUCCUGUCCAACGUUAAUCGGGGCAGGGUGAGUCGACCCCUAAGGCGAGGCCGAAAGGCGUAGUCGAUGGGAAACGGGUUAAUAUUCCCGUACUUGGUGUUACUGCGAAGGGGGGACGGAGAAGGCUAUGUUGGCCGGGCGACGGUUGUCCCGGUUUAAGCGUGUAGGUGUGUGUUCCAGGUAAAUCCGGUUCACUUUAACACUGAGGCGUGAUGACGAGGCACUACGGUGCUGAAGUAACAAAUGCCCUGCUUCCAGGAAAAGCCUCUAAGCAUCAGGUAACAUCAAAUCGUACCCCAAACCGACACAGGUGGUCAGGUAGAGAAUACCAAGGCGCUUGAGAGAACUCGGGUGAAGGAACUAGGCAAAAUGGUGCCGUAACUUCGGGAGAAGGCACGCUGACACGUAGGUGAAGUGAUUUACUCAUGGAGCUGAAGUCAGUCGAAGAUACCAGCUGGCUGCAACUGUUUAUUAAAAACACAGCACUGUGCAAACACGAAAGUGGACGUAUACGGUGUGACGCCUGCCCGGUGCCGGAAGGUUAAUUGAUGGGGUCAGCGCAAGCGAAGCUCCUGAUCGAAGCCCCGGUAAACGGCGGCCGUAACUAUAACGGUCCUAAGGUAGCGAAAUUCCUUGUCGGGUAAGUUCCGACCUGCACGAAUGGCGUAAUGAUGGCCAGGCUGUCUCCACCCGAGACUCAGUGAAAUUGAACUCGCUGUGAAGAUGCAGUGUACCCGCGGCAAGACGGAAAGACCCCGUGAACCUUUACUAUAGCUUGACACUGAACAUUGAGCCUUGAUGUGUAG